rnacentral:rRNA from 1 species
UAGGGAAUUUUCGUCAAUGGGGGCAACCCUGAACGAGCAAUGCCGCGUGAGCGAAGAAGGUCUUCGGAUUGUAAAGCUCUGUUGACCGGGGAAAAGGAAGGAAAGAGGAAAUGCUUUUCUUUGGAUGGUACCCGGCCAGAAAGUCACGGCUAACUACGUGCC